rnacentral:rRNA from 1 species
UACAUGGGGUGCAAACGUUGCUCGGAAUUAUUGGGCGUAAAGCGCACGUAGGCGGUCCGUUAAGUCGGAUGUGAAAGCCCCCGGCUCAACCGGGGAAGUGCAUCCGAAACUGGCAGGCUAGAGUACGAAAGAGGGUCGCGGAAUUCCCGGUGUAGAGGUGAAAUUCGUAGAUAUCGGGAGGAACACCGGUGGCGAAGGCGGCCACCUGGACGGUCACUGACGGCUGAGACGCGAAAGCGUGGGUAGCAAACAGG